CUCUGUGACUCCUACGGGGAGGCAGCAGUGGGGAAUAUUGCACAAUGGGGGAAACCCUGAUGCAGCCAUGCCGCGUGUGUGAAGAAGGCCUUCGGGUUGUAAAGCACUUUCAGUAGGGAGGAAGGUAGUGUAGUUAACACCUGCACUAUUUGACGUUACCUACAGAAGAAGCACCGGCUAACUCCGUGCCAGCAGCCGCGGUAAUACGGAGGGUGCGAGCGUUAAUCGGAAUUACUGGGCGUAAAGCGCAUGCAGGCGGCCUGUUAAGUCAGAUGUGAAAGCCCGGGGCUUAACCUCGGAAUUGCAUUUGAAACUGGCAGGCUAGAGUCUUGUAGAGGGGGGUAGGAAUUUCAGGUGUAGCGGUGAAAUGCGUAGAGAUCUGAAGGAAUACCAGUGGCGAAGGCGGCCCCCUGGACAAAGACUGACGCUCAGAUGCGAAAGCGUGGGGAGCAAACAGGAUUAGAUACCCUUGUAG
rnacentral:rRNA from 1 species